UCCNAUUGCGAAGGCAGCUUACUAGGCUACAACUGACGCUGAAGCACGAAAGCGUGGGGAUCAAACAGGAUUAGAUACCCUGGUAGUCCACGCAGUAAACGAUGAUAACUAGCUGUUUGCGAUACACAGUAAGCGGCACAGCGAAAGCGUUAAGUUAUCCACCUGGGGAGUACGCCGGCAACGGUGAAACUCAAAGGAAUUGACGGGGGCCCGCACAAGCGGAGGAACAUGUGGUUUAAUUCGAUGAUACGCGAGGAACCUUACCCGGGCUUGAACGUAGGGAGACAGUUCUGGAAACAGAAUCUCUAGCAAUAGCUGCCUACGAGGUGCUGCAUGGUUGUCGUCAGCUCGUGCCGUGAGGUGUCGGCUUAAGUGCCAUAACGAGCGCAACCCACAUCGAUAGUUACUAACAGGUCAAGCUGAGGACUCUAUCGAGACUGCCAGCGUAAGCUGUGAGGAAGGUGUGGAUGACGUCAAAUCAGCACGGCCCUUACGUCCGGGGCGACACACGUGUUACAAUGGGAGGUACAAAGGGCAGCUACCUGGCGACAGGAUGCUAAUCUCUAAAACCUUUCUCAGUUCGGAUUGGAGUCUGCAACUCGACUCCAUGAAGCUGGAUUCGCUAGUAAUCGCGCAUCAGCCAUGGCGCGGUGAAUACGUUCCCGGGCCUUGUACACACCGCCCGUCAAGCCAUGGAAGCUGGGGGUACCUGAAGUAUGCAACCGCAAGGAGCGUCCUAGGGUAAAACCGGUAACUGGGGCU
rnacentral:rRNA from 1 species